rnacentral:tRNA from 1 species
GCCUUUGUAGCUCAGUUGGUUAGAGCAUCCGACUCUUAAUCGGAGGGUCCUGGGUUCGAAUCCCAGCGAGGGCA